UACGAAGGGGGCUAGCGUUGUUCGGAAUCACUGGGCGUAAAGCGCACGUAGACGGUUACAUAAGUCGGGUGUGAAAGCCCCGGGCUCAAUCUGGGAAUUGCAUUCGAGACUGCGUAGCUAGGGUGCGGAAGAGGGAAGCGGAAUUUCCGGUGUAGCGGUGAAAUGCGUAGAUAUCGUGAGGAAGACCAGUGGCGAAGGCGGAUCUCUGGACAGCUCCUGACGCUGAGGCGCGAAGGCUAGGGGAGCAACGGG
rnacentral:rRNA from 1 species